GGGGCACAGGCUUGCUGGUGGCAUCCCGCACAGACACUCUCUCCUCACAGCUCCCACCACGGGGACUGGAGGCAGGAGGAGCCGACGGGCCCCUGGAACGGCCGCGGUGCGUCCCGAGGUGGGAGCCGCAAGCCCGAGGCUCGGCCGAGUCCCAGGGGACCCUAACGGAGGCCGGGCUGGAAGGCCAAGGUGGCUGCCACGUGGGAAGGUAUCCUUGACGUCCAGACAUGAUGCUACUGCAGACAUAAGAGACUAUGGCACAGCUAGCAUGAAGCUAGCUUUUCCAUGCACUGGAACCAGCCAGUACUCACCAGGUUGAGCUGGUCUGGAGCUGAACCCAGCUUCUCCGAGGUCUGCCCGUGGUAGAUGCUCCUUAUCCGUUUCCCUGAGGCGACCAAGCACAGCACGAGAGCCCAAGGCCCCCAUGCAGAUAAUGGACAAAGGCAGGACUUUCGUGUUAGUGGCCCACCUUCCUCUUCCUCGACGGUGGCUCCAGCCCCUUCAUGUCGCCUCCAAGCUCCUGCCCAAGUGUUCCCACCCGCACUGCUGGGAGCAGCUCCUCUGUGUUUUCAGGGCCACUUUGCUGUCGUCCUUUGAAGGUUCUCUUGGCGACUCUAGGAAGACUCCGUGGUACAGGUGACCUUCUGUAUCUGUGGAGGAUCGGUUCCCAGAUACCCCCGCCCACGGAUCCCAAAAUCCCAGGAGCCAAGCCUUGUCUAAAGUGCCGGAGUGCAGCCUGGCCUCCAGAACGCGUGAGAACAGAGCAGCCGUACUCUGUUUCCAACGAGCCGAUGGCCAAAGCCCCGCUGUGCGUGUUCUCUAUGGACUGAACAGCCAGUGGCCCUGUAGCAGUGAAGCCUCACACCGUCCUCCAGGCUGGAAGGGACUCUUGAGUCACAGAACUUGCCAGUUUGCAAACAUGUCUCUAGUUGUAACAACUUUCAUCUGUCAAAUGAGGGCUCUUCAUUUCUAAGGUUCUAGAAGCCGGCCGUGGUCAUAUAGUCCCUCAGCUGGGUGUACUGAAAUCUGGGCCAGAGGCACAGCUUCCUCGCUAAGACACCCCCCCACCCCAGCACCCUGCACACACACACAGGCAGAGGCCAAGCUGCCUGCCUCCCCGCACCCCCUAGAAUGCUAACCACUGGGGACCGAGGGGUAGUUCCUACCUUUUAUAUCCUUACAUACUGAAUCUGGCGCUGGCUCCUGGGCUGCAUCUUCUUAACUGCAAACACUCUAUACCAUCCCUCUCUGGUUCCACCAGCCACCACCCUCCUUCCGUGUCCUCCUCUGAACGUGCCUGAUAAAGGCUUUUGAGUGACUGAAUGAGUGGACGGCUCCCAUCUUCUGUCAUCUCAAUGAGUGCUGCUCCCCAGCUGACUGGAACCAGACGCCCUAGUUCCCAGGCUGGGUUUCCCUCCAGAUGUGUUCUCCUGCGGUGUCGGUUCCACCGUUAAACAGCUGUAUCACUCAGCAGGUAUGCAACGUUGAUGCGCCUCCAUUUCCUCCUCUGCAGAAUUGUGGGCGUUCCUGUCGUGGCUCAGCAGAAUCCGGCUUGUAUCCACGAGGAUGCGGGUUCUAUCCCUGGCCUCGCUCGGUGAAUCUGGGAUCCAGCCUUGCCGUGAGCUGUGGUGUAGGCCGGAAGCUGUAGCUCCAAUUUGACCCCUAGCCUGGAAACUUCCAUAUGCUGAGGGUUCGGCCUUAAAAACAACAACAACAACAAAAUAGUACUUACGUCAUAGGGUUGCUGUCAGCAUUAAAUGAGAGAGUCUGUUAAAAACGCCGAGAACAUUGCCUGGCAAUAUACAUUGCAGAAUACUCAAUAAAUAUUAGCUGGUGUUAUUUCAUACUUCAUCAAACACAACCUUCGUCACACAUCGCUGUGCUUCUUAUUUAAUUUGUUGACUUUCCAAAAAGACUGUAAGCUCACGUCUGCCGUGGUCUUAUCCCCAGCGUGGUGGUCUGGCAGGUGGUCAGGGGUCGAUACAGGUCUAAAUGCACCCCCGCGAGAAUGGGCGCGCUGAGGGCGGACACGAAUUUCUUCCACCUGUGACAUUUCAAAGAAUGGUUGAAACUGGUGCCUCUAUAACAUCUGAGAAGCAGACAGGAGACGCUAUUGCCAAGUGGCUACGUGCGCAGAGGGCGAAGCCAGAGGGGAUGAAUUGGAAGCCCAACUCCACGCUCAGCAGAACGUGACCGUACAUCAGCCAGCUUCUGUGCCUCUGUUUCCUCGUCUGUGAAAUGGGAAGGACGAUAAUAGCACCAACCUCGGAGGGUUUUCAGGAAGCUUGAAUGAGUUCAUGUUUGGAAGGUCGUCGGCAUCACGUAAGUGCUAGCUGCCAUCUGCGCCAUUGGUAAGGACAUGACACAAAGAAGACUUGAGAGAGGAAAAAGCCACCAUGGCUGGAAGGCAGGGCUCAGAACAGGCCUGGGGCCAGGCCAGGAGGGUCCUGCACCAUUGACCUAUGGUCCGAGUAUUUUUGGUUCACAUGGUCCAGGCCACUCUUGAGGGCAGGGGCUUGGGGGGCGGGGAUUCUAGAAGCCUGAUUUGCACUGCCCUGCCCCCCAGCUCUCAGCACAAACCCUGCCCCCAGGGAGGGAAGACGCAUCCCGCAUCCCGGCCCAGCCCCGCUGCUCCUCGGGGGCCUGCUGAGGCCGCGGCCACUCCUCCCACCCCGCCAGCUCCCCCUGGGGGACUUUGUCAUCACCACGUGGUUCAGGGACCCUCCAGACCCCCGGGGUGGCUGUCCUCUUCUCCGCUGCUGCGCCUCCAAGCCCGGGCCUCAGAGGAGCCCGGCUGCCACAGGACAGCCACCUCCUCCCUGGGCCUCACCGUCACUGACCCAAAAAUGGGUCAGAUUUGCUCAAGAUUCAUGACUUUUACAUAACGCUGCUGUUAAACACAGGUGUGCCUAUUUAAACGAUUUGAAUAAGAUGCUAAUAAAUGAACCCACUGCCUUGCGAUGGCCGAGCUCUCACUUCAGGAUCGCAACACGAGUGCAGAACGAAUGCCUGGCUGGCGACGGGUUAAAGAAGUCGGUAUCGGCAGGCUUUCAGGAAGGAUCCAGCACGUGGUCCACGAGGUUCCUCAACUGAUGGGGCAGCAGGGACAGCUUCCCUCACUGGUGCCCGCUCACUGCCUGAUGGGGGGCAGAGUCCAUCCAGGCCACACACAAUUUCAAAAAUGUGUUUAUCUUCUUCUUCUUUUUUCUUUUUGUGGCCACACCAGUGGCCUAGGGAAGUUCCCGGGCUAGGGGUCGAAUCGGAGCUGCAGCUGCCGGCCUGCUCCACAGCCACAGCAGCUGGAAUCCAAAUCUCGUCUGUGACCCACACCACAGCUCAGGGCGACGUCGGAUCCUUAACCCACUGAGCGAGGCCGGGGAUCGAACCUGGGUCCUCGUGCACACUAGUCGGGGUCUUAACCCUCUGACUCGCAAUGGGAACUCCUAAAACGUUUUCUGACGGGGAUGCAGUCCCCCUUUAGACUGGCAUGCCGCGGCAUAAAGGCGGAAAUGCAGCUUUCUUCGUUCCACGCAGGGCCUCGCUCUCUGGACAGAGGCGGGAGGUGGGACAGGCAGACGGGAACCUCUGGGCUCGUGGCGAGAUUAUCCUGGAAGAGAAGACCGUUCAAACCGCUUGAAGCCCGUUGGGAUCCAAGGUAAGCGGCUUCACAAUCAGCCAAAGAUAAAAUGUUUUGAAAAGCACUGAAACUUCCUAUAGUGAGGGGUUAACUCCGUGGAGGCGUCUGGCUGCGUGGAGAGGGGCCUGGCGAGCAGAGCUGAGCGGCCGGCAGGAAGGGAAGAGGCUGCCUCCCGCCGGGGGCACACAGCCCACAGGCCUCCUGCGCGUGCUGGCCGGUGAUCGGCCAGGAAGGAUGACAGCGUGGCAGCAAGAGGCCACCGCGUGCUCCGAGGGGCUUCAGAUCCCUCCGUGCCUCUUGGUUUGACCCUGGCUUCUUGACUCCUCAUGCUCCCCAGCACUACCAUGGACCAGACCUUCUAGGACCAACCCUAUUCCGCUUCCUCCAACCUCCUCUUGGCCAUGAACUCAGAAGCCAAGGACCCCGCUGACAUCCUGCUGCGGAUGGAUGGCUCGCACCGGCUGGGACCCCAGGUUUUCCUGUUACGUGUCACCGAAGCCUCUCACAAGCCCUGGAAACAUCAUCAGGCACAGGAAGUUCUCAGCAAGAAUCUGAUUUUGGUUCUCCGUGACUCCCCCUCAGGGAUUAGUCUUUGUAGUACAGUUUCCAGAGUUCCCGCUGUGGCUCAGUUGGAAGGAACCCGACGAGUAGCCGUGAGAACACGGGUUCAAUCCCUAGCCUCGCUCAGUGGGUUAAGGAUCCAGUGCUGCUGUGAGCUGUGUGUAGCUCGGAUCUGGCAUGGCUGUGGCUGUGGCCUGGCAGCUGCAGCUCCGAUUCAACCCCUAGCCCAGGAACUUCCAUAUGUCGCAGGGGCAGCCCUAAAAAGAAAAAAAAAAAAAAAAAAA
rnacentral:lncRNA from 1 species